rnacentral:lncRNA from 1 species
CGCAUCUGGAGCGUGUGAUCUUCCAGCUCAAUUAAUGAGCUCAGAUCUAACGCUCCUGGUUUUUUUUGAAUUUUUAUUUUUCUGAUUUAAUUUCUUUUAUUUCCAUUUAUUUCAAAAAUUCAUAUCUCUCUCAUUUUUAAUCCAAAAAUUAUGGGACCAAUUGCAUUAGUCUCCAAAUAAAUUCUAGUUUCUAUUUCUGAUUUUUUAUUUUUUUUAUUUUGUCAUUUGAUAUUUUUUGUGAAUUUCCUCUUUUCUGGUUAUUUUUAAUUCAUUUUAAAUAGUUUUUGAUAUUCAAAAAAUACAAAAAUAUUUUCCUAACCUAUUUGAAUG